AUUGAACGCUGGCGGAAUGCUUUACACAUGCAAGUCGAACGGUAGGGGGGCAACCCCUUGAGAGUGGCGAACGGGUGAGUAAUAUAUCGGAACGUGCCCAGUCGUGGGGGAUAACGUAGUGAAAAUUACGCUAAUACCGCAUACGAUCUAAGGAUGAAAGCGGGGGAUCGCAAGACCUCGCGCGAUUGGAGCGGCCGAUAUCAGAUUAGGUAGUUGGUGGGGUAAAGGCCCACCAAGCCAACGAUCUGUAGCUGGUCUGAGAGGACGACCAGCCACACUGGAACGGAGACACGGUCCAGACUCCUACGGGAGGCAGCAGUGGGGAAUUUUGGACAAUGGGCGAAAGCCUGAUCCAGCCAUUCCGCGUGCAGGAUGAAGGCCCUCGGGUUGUAAACUGCUUUUGUACAGAACGAAAAGGUUUCUACUAAUACUAGGAGCUCAUGACGGUACUGUAAGAAUAAGCACCGGCUAACUACGUGCCAGCAGCCGCCGUAA
rnacentral:rRNA from 1 species